CCCAUAGAUGUUCUGGGCCGCACGCGUGCUACACUGAGUGGAUCAGCGGGUCAGGUUGCGCGAAAGUGUUUCCUAAUCUUGAAAUCCGCUCGUGAUGGGGAUUGACGGUUGCAAUUUUCCGUCAUGAACGAGGAAUACCUUGUAAGCGCGGGUCAUCAUCCCGCGCUGAAUACGUCCCUGCCCUUUGUACACACCGCCCGUCGCUCCUACCGAUUGAGUGGUCCGGUGAGGCUUUGGGAUCUGAGCGGAAAGAGCGUUUCGCUGUUUCUGCUCGGAAAACUCAGUCGAACCUUAUCAUUUAGAGGAAGGAGAAGUCGUAACA
rnacentral:rRNA from 1 species